rnacentral:rRNA from 1 species
AUGUACUAGAAUUCAACAUAGCAUUAAUGAACCAGAUCCCAUUAUAACUCCACAGUUAAGAUCACUUGGGAUAGAUUAGUAUUGGGAUGGGUGACUGCUCGGGAAGUCCUAUUUUUUUACAUG